rnacentral:rRNA from 1 species
GAUCAGGCUCAGAACGAACGCUGGCGGCAGGCCUAACACAUGCAAGUCGAGCGGACCCUUCGGGGUUAGCGGCGGACGGGUGAGUAACGCGUGGGAAUAUGCCCUUCUCUACGGAAUAGUCCUGGGAAACUGGGGGUAAUACCGUAUACGCCCUUUGGGGGAAAGAUUUAUCGGGGAAGGAUUAGCCCGCGUUGGAUUAGGUAGUUGGUGGGGUAAUGGCCUACCAAGCCGACGAUCCAUAGCUGGUUUGAGAGGAUGAUCAGCCAC